rnacentral:rRNA from 1 species
UAAGUGACUAAGCGUACACGGUGGAUGCCUGGGCAGUCAGAGGCGAUGAAGGACGUACUAACUUGCGAUAAGCGCAGAUAAGGCAGUAAGAGCCGUUUGAGUCUGCGAUUUCCGAAUGGGGAAACCCAACUGCAUAAGCAGUUACUGUUAACUGAAUACAUAGGUUAACAGAGCAAACCGGGGGAACUGAAACAUCUAAGUACCCCGAGGAGAAGAAAUCAACCGAGAUUCCGGUAGUAGCGGCGAGCGAACCUGGAUUAGCCCUUAAGCACUCGGUGAAGUAGGUGAACAAGCUGGAAAGCUUGGCGAUACAGGGUGAUAGCCCCGUAACCGACGCUUCAUCGAGCGUGAAAUCGAGUAGGGCGGGACACGUGAUAUCCUGUCUGAAUAUGGGGGGACCAUCCUCCAAGGCUAAAUACUCCUGACUGACCGAUAGUGAACCAGUACCGUGAGGGAAAGGCGAAAAGAACCCCUGUGAGGGGAGUGAAAUAGAACCUGAAACCGUGUACGUACAAGCAGUAGGAGCACCUUCGUGGUGUGACUGCGUACCUUUUGUAUAAUGGGUCAGCGACUUAUAUUCAGUGGCAAGGUUAACCGUAUAGGGGAGCCGUAGCGAAAGCGAGUCUUAACUGGGCGCUCAGUCUCUGGAUAUAGACCCGAAACCGGGUGAUCUAGCCAUGGGCAGGUUGAAGGUUGAGUAACAUCAACUGGAGGACCGAACCGACUAAUGUUGAAAAAUUAGCGGAUGACUUGUGGCUAGGGGUGAAAGGCCAAUCAAACUCGGAGAUAGCUGGUUCUCCCCGAAAGCUAUUUAGGUAGCGCCUCGGACGAAUACUACUGGGGUAGGAGCACUGUUAAGGCUAGGGGGUCGAUCCCGACCUUACCCAACCCUUUCGUCAAACUCCGAAUACCAGUAAGUACUAUCCGGGAGACACACGGCGGGUGCUAACGUCCGUCGUGGAGAGGGAAACAACCCAGACCGCCAGCUAAGGUCCCAAAGUAUUGCUAAGUGGGAAACGAUGUGGGAAGGCUCAGACAGCUAGGAUGUUGGCUUAGAAGCAGCCAUCAUUUAAAGAAAGCGUAAUAGCUCACUAGUCGAGUCGGCCUGCGCGGAAGAUGUAACGGGGCUAAGCAAUACACCGAAGCUGCGGCAAUGUCUUUUAGAUAUUGGGUAGGGGAGCGUUCUGUAAGCCGUUGAAGGUGAAUCGUAAGGUUUGCUGGAGGUAUCAGAAGUGCGAAUGCUGACAUGAGUAACGACAAAGGGGGUGAAAAACCUCCUCGCCGGAAGACCAAGGGUUCCUGUCCAACGUUAAUCGGGGCAGGGUGAGUCGACCCCUAAGGUGAGGCCGAAAGGCGUAAUCGAUGGGAAACGGGUUAAUAUUCCCGUACUUCUGACUAUUGCGAUGGGGGGACGGAGAAGGCUAGGUGGGCCAGGCGACGGUUGUCCUGGUUCAAGUGCGUAGGCUUGAGGUUAGGUAAAUCCGGCUCUCUCUAAGGCUGAGACACGACGUCGAGCUGCUACGGCAGUGAAGUCAUUGAUGCCAUGCUUCCAGGAAAAGCCUCUAAGCUUCAGAUAGUCAGGAAUCGUACCCCAAACCGACACAGGUGGUCGGGUAGAGAAUACCAAGGCGCUUGAGAGAACUCGGGUGAAGGAACUAGGCAAAAUGGUACCGUAACUUCGGGAGAAGGUACGCUCUUGAUGGUGAAGUCCCUCGCGGAUGGAGCUGACGAGAGUCGCAGAUACCAGGUGGCUGCAACUGUUUAUUAAAAACACAGCACUGUGCAAAAUCGCAAGAUGACGUAUACGGUGUGACGCCUGCCCGGUGCCGGAAGGUUAAUUGAUGGGGUUAGCGCAAGCGAAGCUCUUGAUCGAAGCCCCGGUAAACGGCGGCCGUAACUAUAACGGUCCUAAGGUAGCGAAAUUCCUUGUCGGGUAAGUUCCGACCUGCACGAAUGGCGUAAUGAUGGCCACGCUGUCUCCACCCGAGACUCAGUGAAAUUGAAAUCGCUGUGAAGAUGCAGUGUACCCGCGGCUAGACGGAAAGACCCCGUGAACCUUUACUACAGCUUGGCACUGAACAUUGAACCUACAUGUGUAGGAUAGGUGGGAGGCUAUGAAGACGUGACGCCAGUUGCGUUGGAGCCGUCCUUGAAAUACCACCCUUGUAUGUUUGAUGUUCUAACUUAGACCCAUUAUCUGGGUUGAGGACAGUGCCUGGUGGGUAGUUUGACUGGGGCGGUCUCCUCCCAAAGAGUAACGGAGGAGCACGAAGGUGGGCUAAUCACGGUUGGACAUCGUGAGGUUAGUGCAAUGGCAUAAGCCCGCUUAACUGCGAGAAUGACGGUUCGAGCAGGUGCGAAAGCAGGUCAUAGUGAUCCGGUGGUUCUGUAUGGAAGGGCCAUCGCUCAACGGAUAAAAGGUACUCCGGGGAUAACAGGCUGAUACCGCCCAAGAGUUCAUAUCGACGGCGGUGUUUGGCACCUCGAUGUCGGCUCAUCACAUCCUGGGGCUGAAGUCGGUCCCAAGGGUAUGGCUGUUCGCCAUUUAAAGUGGUACGCGAGCUGGGUUUAGAACGUCGUGAGACAGUUCGGUCCCUAUCUGCCGUGGGCGUUGGAAGAUUGAAGGGGGCUGCUCCUAGUACGAGAGGACCGGAGUGGACGAACCUCUGGUGUUCGGGUUGUGUCGCCAGACGCAUUGCCCGGUAGCUAAGUUCGGAAUUGAUAAGCGCUGAAAGCAUCUAAGCGCGAAGCGAGCCCUGAGAUGAGUCUUCCCUGAUACUUUAAGUAUCCUAAAGGGUUGUUCGAGACUAGAACGUUGAUAGGCAGGGUGUGUAAGCGUUGUGAGGCGUUGAGCUAACCUGUACUAAUUGCCCGUGAGGCUUAACCA